rnacentral:rRNA from 1 species
CCUUAGAUCUUAUUGCCAUCAUUAAGUUGGGCACUCCAAAGGUGACUAGCCGGUGACAAACCGGAGGAAGGUGGGGAUGACAGUCGNAUCAUCAUGCCCCUGUAUGACCUGGGCUACACACGUGCUACAAUGGACAGGUACAGAGAGCAGCUGCAAGACCGCGAGGUGGAGCUAAUCUCAUAAAACCGUUCUCGNUGUCGGAUUGUGAUGCUGCAACUCGCCUACAUGAACCUGGAAUCNCUAUUGAUCGGGGAUCGGCAUGCCGCGGUGAAUACGUUCCCGGGCCUUGUACGGUCCGCCCGUCACACCAGAAUAAUUUGUAGCACCCAAACUCGGUGGGGUAACCUUUAUGGANCCAUCCGCCUAAGGUGGGA